rnacentral:rRNA from 1 species
CCUACGGGUGGCAGCAGUGGGGAAUAUUGCACAAUGGGCGAGAGCCUGAUGCAGCAACGCCGCGUGAGCGAUGAAGGCCUUCGGGUCGUAAAGCUCUGUCCACAAGGAAGAAAAUGACGGUACCUGAGGAAGAAGCCACGGCCAAGUACGUGCCAGCAGCCGCGGUAACACGGAGGGGGCAAGCGUUAUCCGGAUUUACUGGGUGUAAAGGGGGCGUAGAGGGCUUUGCAAGUCUGUAGUGAAAGCCUGGGGCUCAACCGCGGGACUGCUCUUGAAACUGGGAGGCUGGAGUGCAGGAGGGGUGGGCGGAAUUCCUGGUGUAGCGGUGAAAUGCGUAGAUAUCAGGAGGAACACCAGUGGCGAAGGCGGCUUACUGGACUGCAACUGACGUUGAGGCCCGAAAGUGUGGGGAGCAAACAGGAUUAGAUACCCCAGUAGUC